UGGCUUCUUCAGGGAUGUCAGAGAUUCCAUUACUCAGCAAUUGACGAGUGCGCUCACGUGUGUGAUACAGUGUAUCCCUCACAUCACCAAGAACCACACGGUAUGGCUCAGUUGGAGGUAUUGUCUUCCAGAACUCUGCAUCGAGUUAGAAAAUAUAACUUGAGAAUGUGUUUCUUUUUAUGAUCUUGCGAGAAAGGAAAAAUAAAUCUGCAUAAAAGUUUUGUGAUUCAAACCUAUGUAAUGCUUUGCAGCAUCUUUCCUUGAGUUCCUGUGGAUCACAUCAGCCGCAACACGGAACUCAUCAGUGCAACGCCACAUAGACAACUGCCAAGAAGAAAAAAUGAAUAAAUCAAUAGAAUCUUGAGAGAGUUGAAA
rnacentral:lncRNA from 1 species